rnacentral:lncRNA from 1 species
CUGGAUGUAGCUUUCUCCUGUGAACUGAGAAUCUUCUGAUAAGGUACCAAGUGCCAAACGCACCUGAAGUCUGCAUACACCAUGAUGAGAAGCAGGAAGAUCCCUAUCUGCCUAUGGGAGUUGAAGCCGAGUGCACUCUGCAUUUCUUUGCCAUUACCCUCUACAACAACACUUCAAAGGUCAAGACUGACAGCUCCAUGGAUUUUGAUGUAACGCUGCUUUUUUAUGGACUGUACAGAGGAAUGAUGCACAGCAACUUUGCAGAGUUGGAAAAUAGGAAAUGAUACAGUAAAAAAAAAUCUUAGGCAAGUGGAAGAGUAAUCUUAAGUGCAUAGAAGGACAGGUAUCUCCUGAUAUCCACCUUCAUUUUCAAAUUACAUCUGAAGGAAGAGCUUGAUGGUGGUGUCUCUGUUUACUCCACUUCAGCAGUUACAAUCUUUGACCCAUCCAACAGUAUUUGAGGUGGGAAAGUCUUCAGCUACUCUCAUCUUGUGGACUACCUCCCAGAGAGAACAAAGAUGAGGAACACCCACUUUGCGCUGGUGCUAAGGCUUCUGGAUCAGAGAGAAGAGUAUGGUCUUGAAAUGAAAGACUACGUAGGUAUUAGUGUUUGAUACACUUUAGGUGAGCACUUCAACAACUAUGCUUAAGCAAGUCAAAAAAGUGUUUGAACCCCACUGUGAAGCAUCACUUCACUGAGAAA